GAUGAGCGCUGGCGGCGUGCCUAACACAUGCAAGUCGAGCGAUCUUCUUCGGAAGAGAGCGGCGGACGGGUGAGUAACGCGUGGGUAACCUGCCCUGUACACACGGAUAACAUACCGAAAGGUAUGCUAAUACGGGAUAACAUAAGAAAGUCGCAUGGCUUUCUUAUCAAAGCUUUUGCGGUACAGGAUGGACCCGCGUCUGAUUAGCUAGUUGGUAAGGUAACGGCUUACCAAGGCGACGAUCAGUAGCCGACCUGAGAGGGUGAUCGGCCACAUUGGAACUGAGACACGGUCCAAACUCCUACGGGAGGCAGCAGUGGGGAAUAUUGCACAAUGGGCGAAAGCCUGAUGCAGCAACGCCGCGUGAGCGAUGAAGGCCUUCGGGUCGUAAAGCUCUGUCCUCAAGGAAGAUAAUGACGGUACUUGAGGAGGAAGCCCCGGCUAACUACGUGCCAGCAGCCGCGGUAAUACGUAGGGGGCUAGCGUUAUCCGGAAUUACUGGGCGUAAAGGGUGCGUAGGCGGUCUUUCAAGUCAGAAGUGAAAGGCUACGGCUCAACCGUAGUAAGCUUUUGAAACUGUAAGACUUGAGUGCAGGAGAGGAGAGUGGAAUUCCUAGUGUAGCGGUGAAAUGCGUAGAUAUUAGGAGGAACACCAGUUGCGAAGGCGGCUCUCUGGACUGUAACUGACGCUGAGGCACGAAACGUGGGGAGCAAACAGG
rnacentral:rRNA from 1 species